rnacentral:rRNA from 1 species
GUAGGGGUACUUGAGACCUUUGUAGCGCAGCUAACGCACUAAGUAGACCGCCUGGGGAGUACGGCCGCAAGGUUAAAACUCAAAUGAAUUGACGGGGGCCCGCACAAGCAGUGGAGCAUGUGGUUUAAUUCGAUGCAACGCGAAGAACCUUACCAGGCCUUGACAUCCUCGGAACUUUCUAGAGAUAGAUUGGUGCCUUCGGGAACCGAGUGACAGGUGCUGCAUGGCUGUCGUCAGCUCGUGUCGUGAGAUGUUGGGUUAAGUCCCGUAACGAGCGCAACCCUUGUCCUUAGUUGCCAGCACAUAAUGGUGGGAACUCUAAGGAGACUGCCGGUGACAAACCGGAGGAAGGUGGGGACGACGUCAAGUCAUCAUGGCCCUUACGGCCUGGGCUACACACGUGCUACAAUGGCUAGGACAGACGGCCGCAAACCCGCGAGGGGGAGCCAAUCCGACAAACCUAGUCGUAGUCCGUAUCGGAGUCUGCAACUCGACUCCGUGAAGUCGGAAUUGCUAGUAAUCGCGAAUCAGAAUGUCGCGGUGAAUACGUUCCCGGGCCUUGUACACACCGCCCGUCACACCAUGGGAGUGGGUUGCUCCAGAAGUGGUUAGUCUAACCUUCGGGGGGACGAUCACCACGGAGUGAUUCAUGACUGGGGUGAAGUCGUAACAAGGUAGCCCUAGGGGAACCUGUGGAUGGAUCACCUCCUU